rnacentral:rRNA from 1 species
UACGUAGGGGGCUAGCGUUGUCCGGAAUCAUUGGGCGUAAAGAGCGCGUAGGCGGCCUGUUAAGUCGAACGUGAAAUCCCCGGGCUCAACCCGGGAACUGCGUCCGAUACUGGCAGGCUUGAAUCCGGGAGAGGGAUGCGGAAUUCCAGGUGUAGCGGUGAAAUGCGUAGAUAUCUGGAGGAACACCGGUGGCGAAGGCGGCAUCCUGGACCGGUAUUGACGCUGAGGCGCGAAAGCCAGGGGAGCAAACGGG